UACGUAGGGUCCGAGCGUUGUCCGGAAUUACUGGGCGUAAAGGGCGCGUAGGCGGCGUGUCAAGUCAGGCGUGAAAGCCCCGGGCUCAACCUGGGAACCGCGCUUGAGACUGGCAUGCUCGAGUUCGGGAGAGGAUGGUGGAAUUCCCAGUGUAGAGGUGAAAUUCGUAGAUAUUGGGAAGAACACCGGUGGCGAAGGCGGCGCUCUGGACCGAGACUGACGCUGAGGCGCGGAAAGCGUGGGGAGCAAACAGG
rnacentral:rRNA from 1 species